rnacentral:rRNA from 1 species
UUCAAGCUUACCACUGUCUACGGGCCAACUAGAAGCAUUCACAAAGAUGCUUUUUUCCUUGAGCUGUCAUCUCAGAAACCAUUGCCAGGAACAAAGUGGCUGGUUAACGGCGACUUCAACCAAAUAUACCGGGCUCGAGAUAAAAACCGCACAAAUGUGGACCGCAGCCGCCUAGUUAGGUUUCGCAACACCUUAAACUCUUGCGAGCUCAAGGAGAUCCAUCUACAGAAUCGAAGAUUCACAUGGAGCAAUGAAAGAAACAACCCAACGCUUUGUAAACUGGACAGCUUUUUUUGCAAUGAGGACUGGGACAUCGAAUUUGCCAAUCACAUUCUUCAUGCCCUCUCCUCCUCACUUUUGGACCACUGCCCGCUUUUACUCGCUAAUGAGGAUGGGCCCAAGCGACCGAAGUCCUUCCGGUUCGAGAACCAUUGGACCAAGAUGCCGGGUUUCCAAAAGACGGUCAAGGAUGCUUGGGAUGAAGAAUCAACGUAUACCGAGCCAUACCAGAGGCUGUUUCAUAAGCUCAAAACUACUAGCCAAAGAUUACGCUCCUGGAGCAAGUCCCUUUUCGCCAAAGCUAAGAUCCAAUUACAUAUGGCGCUUGAAGUUAUUCUGCAUCUUGACCUGGCUAUGGAUCAAAGAGAGCUUUCCCAACAGGAAUAUGAUCUUCGAAAAAGACUAAAGAGAAAGAUCAUCGCGUGGGCUGUGCUUGAGAAAUCUAGGAAGAGGCAAAACUCCAGAAUCACCAAUCUGAAGGAGGGUGAUGCUAACACCCGUUACUUCCAUCUCCGGGUGAACCAUCGGAGGAGAAAAAACUUCAUUCAAGCACAAUUCUGGCUGGAUCACGGAACACAACCAGAAGGAGCAAGUGAUUCAUAG